UCCCGGGAGGGUGGUGGUGCCUGCGGCUGUGGCCCGCGCGGAGGCCGCCGCGCGGGGAGGAACCUCGGUGACGCGUAACUUUCUGGUUUGGUUAAUGGGUGGACGGGAGCGCCGCUUAGGGGCGUCUCUUGCAGAGCACUUGUCCUCAUUUAACGUUUGAGUUUAUGUCUGCCUCCCAGCACUGGGCGAGACACGUGGCGAACCCGUCGCUGAAGGGGAACGAGUGAGCGAGCCAGCGUGCGUGUGUUGGACCGGUAGCUGAAGACGAGCGUGUGUGCGUGUGAAAGCCGCAAAGAACUGUUCACUUCUGGGCGUGUUGCCAUUGAGAUGAUGGCACACACCUGGACAGGGGUGGUUUGGAGAGCCAGGUGUGGUCCAUGGACCACGAGGCUGGGUGAAAUGGCCUAAGGCAGGGCGGUGUGCGAGGACAGGGCAGGUAGGAGGUGGAGAGUGGGAGGCUAGACCUGGAGGACGGCCAGACAUGGGGCUUUAAAGCAUUGCAGCGUUAGUCCCAGGAGGGAGUGGCCAUGGCGUCUUCAGUGACCCUGGGGACACCUGGGCGGGGGGGCAGAUUGUGAGGACAGACACUGGCUGGAAUGAGGGAGGGGCAGCAGGCCCCAGUGUGACGAGGGUAACAAGAAUCAAAAAAUGUAGGGCCAAGGAAUAUGGGGGCAGUAGCUGGAAGGAGGAAACACAUGGGGGCAUUGUCGUUUAAAACACUGGAGCAAUUAGAUGAAUCCAUUUUGUAGUCCAAAAAAAAAAAAAAAAAUUUUUUUUUUUUUUUUUUUAAUGGGAAGGUAAAAGUAAAGAGCUCCAGUGGCACAGCCAGCUGCUCACCAAAAGGUAGGCAGUUCAAACCCACCAGCUGCUCCAUGGAAGAAAGGCCUGGCGAUCUGCUCCUGUAAAGACUACAACCAAGAAAACCCUGUGGAGCAGUUCUACUCUGUCACACAUUGUACCUAUGAGUUGAAAUGGACUGGAGGGCACCUACCAAUGGGAAGGUGGCAUAAGAGGGGGUGGAGGACACAAAGAGGGAACUCCAGGGUGGCAUGGAGGCUCCUAAGAUGAUACGUCCUUCAGCAGUGACCUGUUUCUUUGUGUAGGGGAAGGCUGGUGGCAUUCCUGGCUGGUAGAUAUUUGAUUCUCUGGGGAAGGAGGAGUCAGCACUUGGGAGGCUACACGGGGUACCAGAGCUCCCCAGAGUGGUUUCCUCCCCACGGGGCAGGCCAGGAGAAGGCAGAGAGCUGCGUCCAUGCCAAGUUGGGAUUUUGGUAGAGGGACCCCAGACAAGAGGACGAGACCAUGAAGAUGAAGAGACUGAGGCUCAAGAGGUCAAAACGCACACCACGGGCAGUCUACAGGAGAGGUCUGUGAUUCCUUAUGCCAGCCAUGCCCCUUGGGGUGUGGGGUUCUUACAGGGGCCAGAAGACAGCUGCUGUGGGGGCAUGAUGCGCACAGGAGAAGCAGACAGGAAAGUGACCAUCAGGUCAGCACCUCCACAUCCCCGUACAUCUGUUCAAGAGCAUUGUGGAUGCUACCAGCCAAGUGGUUCUUUCUUACAUUUCAAGAGGAAGCAAAAGCAUAUCACAGUGGGCUAAGUGCGUCAGUGGUCAACUUGACCUGGGAGAAACCUCAUGGCUGGCCCCUGGGGCAUCCCAGAUGUUUUGGCUGCUGCCACGUUAUUUCUUAUGACUUCAAAGGGCAGAUGGCUGGCUUUCUUCCCAUGGGAAUCAAGAGGAGAUACACAGUGACGGAUCACUCCAGGACACCAGAGGGGAUGGAGACAGGCUUCAUGCUGUGUGGCAUGACAGCUGCAAGGCUCAGUCUCUCUGUCCCUCUGCGUCUUGGUCCCCUCAGAUGUUACAAAUGACUUUAUUUUCUGGCUAACCUCAUGGGGAAAAUUAUUUUUGUAUUAAAAAAAGCAGAAACAACGAAA